GGGCAGUUGGAUGUUCGUGGGGACUGUUGGUACUUCGCGUGCUGCUCUCUUUGCGACUCCAUCGGCUUUUCCACACACCCCCGUCCGUGACAAGCCUCCUCGCUCCGUUACAUAACGGGAAUCGGUCAAACGGAGUGUGGUUUCUUGCGCGCUUGCGUACGCUUGCGUGCGUUCGCGUUGCGGGUGCUGCGUUAAGCUCCAUCGGUUUCACGGUCACCUUGAGUAAAUCAGAGUGCUCAAAGCAGUCGUAGGGGCCUUGCGCCCUGUGAACAGUCUUGACGGACUGACUUGGUUUUGCAUGGCAUGUCGGAAGACGACGUCGUGUGCUGGCUCAGAGGAUAAAUCAGUGGUACAAGCCAGCCUCGACGUAAUGAUUAAAAGGGACGGUCGAGGGCAUUGGUAUUGCGAGGCGAGAGGUGAAAUUCUGUGACCCCCGCAAGACCUCCUGAAGCGAAAGCGUCUGCCAAGGACGUUUUCAUUAAUCAUGAACGAAAGUUAGAGGAUCGAAGGCGAUCAGAUACCGCCCUAGUUCUAACCCUAAACGAUGCCAACCAUCAAUCCGCGCGUAGCACCCUUCUUAACGGGCUCGGCGGGCAGCUCCCCACUCACGGGAAACCAGAGCCUCUGGGUUCCGGGGGGAGUCUGGUUGCAAAGCUGAAACUUAAAGGAAUUGACGGAAAGGCACCACCAGGCGUGGAGCCUGCGGCUUAAUUUGACUCAACACGGGCCAUCUCACCAGGCCAGCACUCUUGUACGAUUGACAGAUUGAGAGCUCUUUCUCGAUUCAGUGGAUGGUGGUGCAUGGCCGUUCUUAGUUGGUGGAGUGAUCUGUCUGGUUAAUUCCGAUAACGAACGAGACUCUCCCCUGCUAACUAGUCGGUUGGAUCUUGAUCAGCGGGUUGCGUGCUGAGUAACUCUCGCUGCGUGUGCUUGCGUUUCGUGCUUAACGGUGCGUUGCGUUUGUGCGCGUGGUGUUGGAUGCCUCGGAUCACACUGCACCCCAAGUCCGCCGCUUAUGCUAUAACUCUUCUUAGAGGGAUUCACGGCACUGAAGCCGUAAGAGACUGAGAGCAAUAACAGGUCUGUGAUGCCCUUAGAUGCUCUGGGCCGCACGCGCGCUACAAUGCCGGGCACAGCAGGUGUUUCUCCUGCUCCGACAGGAGCGGGUAACCCUCUGAAAGCCAGUGUUUCUUGCAAGUGCUUCCUCCCUCGCGGAGUUGCACAGAGGCGUGCUUGGGCCUGGGACUUGCAAUUCUUUCCCACCAACGAGGAAUGCCUAGUAGCGGCGGGUCACUGAGCCCGCUGUGACUCAGUCCCUGCCCUUUGUACACACCGCCCGUCGCUACUACCGAUUGGGUGUACCAGUGAGAGCCUUGGACUGGCGUCCGUUGUUACUCGCAAGAGUGACAAGCGGGUCCGACGGAAAGAGGUCCGAACUGGUGCACUUAGAGGAAGUAAAAGUCGUAACAAGGUUUCCGUAGGUGAACCUGCGGAAG
rnacentral:rRNA from 1 species